CGCAGAUAUGCGGAAAUCAAGGGACCGUCUCUAAAGUUACACACGACAUUUUUAGACGCGAUUCUAUCUUCAAUAGCAUUUGAAGGGAAUGACUAACAGUCACAGUACCAACUGGAAAGCGUUCAUCUAGGUGUCAGUCUGUCUCAAGGAACAUCUCCAAUGCAACAGACCAUUGACCAACAAGAAGAGCAAUGGGACAAGAGAUCACAAACUCAAAGACCAGCAAAGCAUCGUUCAAAGUAUUUUGAUCCACCAGAAGCAGUGCCACAACCAAAAAGACACAAGACAAAGCAAACAUCUGAGGAUCAUUCAGAGGACACAUCAGCCCAGAUCCAAGCUCUGUGGUCUAAGAAAGCAUGUGAGAUAGUCAUUGCCGUCACACAGUCAAAGGACAAAAAAGGUCUUAUAUCCUGCAUCAUUCAGAGCUGAAAACACUCCAGCCACAUAAAUGGCUGGUGGGGGAGACAAUCCAAUGCUAUUUUCAAGUGGUGGUGAAUAACAGAAACCAGGGACACAAGAUUUUUAUACUAGAUCACUACACAUCGUGUUAUACUUCAUGGAGAAUGAGAUGACGUAUGGAGAAACAGUCUCUCAAAGGUGGACUUUGAUGACUACAAGGGAAUGAUAAGUUUCCUGAAUGUCAACGGGAAUCAUUGGAUAUUUUUGGUGAACACAUUUUAUAGUCCUUUUUUAAUAUACAUGAGACACUAUUAUAUUACUCUAUUCUAUAGAGGAUGUUCAUAAUUUGGUUGGAUUGAAAAAUCACAUUGAAUAAAUGUUCAGAAUAGCCAAGACUAUUCAAACACCAAGCAUCAAAAUUCAAAUAUAAACUAACCCGUAGCUGCGGGGAUUUCCUCCGGGUACUCUGGUUUCCUCCCCCAGUCCAAAGACAUGUAUGGUAGGCUGAUUGGCAUGUCCAAAGUGUCCGUAGUGUAUGAAUGGGUCUGUGAAUGUGUAUGUGAGUGUGCCCUGCGAUGGAUUGGCACCCUGUCCAAGGUGUACCCCGCCUUGUGCCCGAUGCUCCCUGGGAUAGGCCCCAGGUUUCCCCGUGACCCUGAAAAGGAUAAAGCAGUAUAGAAGAUGGAUGGAUGGAUGGAUGGAUGGAUGGAUGGACUAACGCGUACAAGGCCAUAUGCUUUUCACUGUGUCUAUACCACACACAAGAGUCUGGAAUAGUUGAAUGUAUGAAUGAAUGAAUGAAUUAAUUAAUUCAUUAAUCCAUCCAUCCAUCCAUCCAUAAUUUUAACUUUCAGGCCAGACUUUUUCAAACCAACUUCAAAGUUUGUGAACCUUAGAACCUCAUUCUAGGUUCAUCUAUUUUUUUUAUCUUGCACAGUAUCUCCACAUAGCAUCCAGCCAGGUGUUUGUGGUAGACCCAGCAGGACAUGAUGAAGAAGCAAAAUCCAUGCAUGCA